AUUAAAUUAUCAAUAUUGAUGCAAGAGUAUUUGAGGCGAUUUUUUCGAUUUGAUGACCUCUCACUUUUCCGGAUAACGUCGCUUCACUAUAAGCCUGAAACGCUUCCCGUUCCGCUCGAUUGCGUCUAUUUGGACUCCACGUUUGCCCGUCCUACCAGCAAAGACUUCUGCACCCGCCAGCGCUGUGUGGCGGCCCUGACCGAUUUGAUUCAUCCUUACUACCACUUGUAUUAUUACGUGUACAUCUGCUGCCCUUACUUGGGUUCUUUUUAGAUCCACGUGGAUUAAUGCCAGAUGGAGAUGUACUCAGCACUUACUGAGCUGGCCGAGUAUUUUCCGCUAGACCCAUUGCUCACUUUUACGCGUGUUUGCAACGCAGGGUAUUGUCCCUCCAAAGUCUCAAAAUGUUUCUCUUGAAAGGCUACCGUAUUGUAUGGGCUCAUCGGCAGAGCGGCAAUCAGUGGCCUACUUUUGCAGGUGUUUACAUUCAGCAGCAUCGAGCACGUGAGAAGAAACUUUUCGCGUAGCUUUACAAAAAUUCGGAUAACGUCAAGAGAUAUUACAUUCAUGCAUUCAUCACAAGAAGGGUUGCGCCACUUUUUAAGUUAUUUUCGUGUUCAGUCUGUGAAGUUCUGUUCUGUCCUGUUUGGGUAUAAAAGCGCUGCUCAGGCUUUUCCGAGUCCGUUCAGCUCGUCGCAAGUUUUAAUGCUUUUAAUUUUGUUGACCGUAAGGCCAUUAUUGAACAGAAAGUUUUAACU